rnacentral:misc_RNA from 1 species
CUGACAGCGUUGAUACAGAACAACGCAUUCAGCAACAAAUUAGCGAAUCCACAGAGAUGGUGAAGAAGAUCGAGCAACUCAAAAUUUCGCAGGGGAAGUUUUUGGGACAAGGUUUGACUUCUUGUUCUGUGGAAGAGCUCCAAGAGAUACACAACCAGCUAGAGAAAGGCUUAAGCAAUAUCAAAGAAAGGAAGGCUGAGUUGUUCAAGGAGAAGAUAGAGCAACUAAAAGCGCAGGAAAGGCUCUUGCUGGAAGAGAAUGCAAGUUUGCGUGUAAAGUGUGGUGAGAAGCCAUGGCCGCAUCCAACUCAACAGAAAGAAGCUGUGACAUACUUAAGCUUAAAUGGGAAGAAUUCAGAGGUGGAGACUGAAUUGUCCAUUGGUCUUCCAGAACCAAAAAUGCACUGUUUGUAGUGGUCAUUAAAAGCUUGUUCUUAUAUAAGAAAAAUUUGAUAA